GUUUCCGUAGGUGAACCUGCGGAAGGAUCAUUAAUGAUUAACUGUCUGUCGAGCUUGCUCACAGACUUAUCAUAUCCAUAACACCUGUGCACUUGUCGGAUGGCUUAGUGAAGACCGCAAGGUUGGAUCUAUCCAUCUACUUUACAUAACAAUUUAGUAACAAAUGUAGUCUUAUUAUAACAUAAUAAAACUUUCAACAACGGAUCUCUUGGCUCUCGCAUCGAUGAAGAACGCAGCGAAAUGCGAUAAGUAAUGUGAAUUGCAGAAUUCAGUGAAUCAUCGAAUCUUUGAACGCACCUUGCGCUCCCUGGUAUUCCGGGGAGCAUGCCUGUUUGAGUGUCAUGAAAACCCUCAACCUUAGAUUGGUUAACACCUUUCUUUGGCUUGGAUUUGGACGUUUGCCGAUGAUAAGUCGGCUCGUCUUAAAAGUAAUAGCUGGAUCUGUCUCGCGACAUGGUUUGACUUGGCGUAAUAAGUAUUUCGCUAAGGACAUCUUCGGAUGGCCGCGUUGCAAGACUAAAGACCGCUUUCUAAUCCAUUGAUCUUCGGAUUAAUAUUCUUGACAUCUGGCCUCAAAUCAGGUAGGACUACCCGCUGAACUUAAG
rnacentral:rRNA from 1 species